rnacentral:rRNA from 1 species
GGUAGGUCUGGGGAGUGUGCCGCGGGAAGACAGAGGGUGCAAGCGUUACGAGGAAGGAGUGGGCGGUAAGCGUGCGUGGGGGGGUCGGUGAGGCGGGUGGGAAAGGCCCGGGCGCAACCUGGGAGUUGCAUUCGAGACUGGGAAGCUGGAGUGCGGAAGAGUGAAGUGGAAUUUCCGGUGUAGCGGUGAAAUGCGUAGAGAUCUAGAGCAACGCCAAUGGUGAAGACAGGCGACUGGGCCGAUUCUGACGCUGAGGCACGAGAGCGUGGGUAGCAAACGGGAUUAGAUGCGCCGGUAGUC